UAAUAUAAUUUAUAUAUAUAUAUCCUUGUCAAACUAGUAUAGACAAGGGGAAUCUGACUAUUUAAUUAAAACAAAGCAUUGUGAUGGUCCCCGCGGAUGCUGACACAAUGUGAUUUAUACCCAAUGCUAUGCAUGUGAAAGUGAAGAAAUUCAACCAAGCACAGGUAAACAAUGGGAGUAACUAUGACUCUCUUAAGGUAGUUAGAUUCCUUGUCACAUAAUUAGUGACAUGCAUGAAUGGAUUAACAAGAUUCCCACUAUCCCUAGCUACCAUCUA
rnacentral:ncRNA from 1 species